CCUACGGGGGGCAGCAGUGAGGAAUAUUGGUCAAUGGACGAGAGUCUGAACCAGCCAAGUAGCGUGAAGGAUGACUGCCCUAUGGGUUGUAAACUUCUUUUAUCAAGGAAUAAAACGAGGCACGUGUGCCUUUAUGCAUGUACUUUAUGAAAAAGGAUCGGCUAACUCCGUGCCAGCAGCCGCGGUAAUACGGAGGGACCGAGCGUUAUCCGGAUUGAUUUGGUUUAAAGGGAGCGUAGAUGGGUUGUUAAGUCAGUUGUGAAAGUUUGCGGCUCAACCGUAAAAUUGCAAUUGAUACUGGCAGUCUUGAGUACAGUUGAGGUAGGCGGAAUGCGUGGUGUAGCGGUGAAAUGCUUAGAUAUCACGAAGAACCCCGAUUGCGAAGGCAGCUUACUAAACUGUGACUGACAUUGAUGCUCGAAAGUGUGGGUAUCAAACAGGAUUAGAUACCCUAGUAGUC
rnacentral:rRNA from 1 species